rnacentral:lncRNA from 1 species
GGGGGUUUUGAGAGUGAUUGUAGUAAACUAAUAAUGAGAAUAACAAUAGAAAGCAAAUAAUAAAAUAAAGAGUAAUCAAUAGUGAGAAAGUUCUAGUUGAAGUAUUGGAUCCACUUUAGUUGUUGGGAUUGAUCACAGACACUUUGUUCUUUUGGGUUGAUUCAAUAGAUUAGUUAUGGAGAUGGAAGAUGCUUAUCACCACCAUUAUCUCUCCUUAUUAUUAAAUUAAUUAGGUAACGUCCUCUAAUCAAUUACUAAUUAACAAAUUGCCAAGGAACAUCC